UACGUAGGGGGCAAGCGUUGUCCGGAUUUAUUGGGCGUAAAGAGCUCGUAGGUGGUUCGGUAAGUCGGAUGUGAAAUCUCCAGGCUCAACCUGGAGGGGUCAUUCGAUACUGCCGUGACUAGAGUUCGGUAGGGGAGUGUGGAACUCCUGGUGGAGCGGUGAAAUGCGCAGAUAUCAGGAGGAACACCCGUAGCGAAGGCGGCACUCUGGGCCGAUACUGACACUGAGGAGCGAAAGCGUGGGGAGCGAACAGG
rnacentral:rRNA from 1 species